rnacentral:rRNA from 1 species
CAACACCCGAAGUCGGUGAGGUAACCCUUACGGGAGCCAGCCGCCGAAGGUGGGGCAAGUGAUUGGGGUGAAGUCGUAACAAGGUAGCCGUACCGGAAGGUGCGGCUGGAUCACCUCCUUUCUAAGGA